rnacentral:lncRNA from 1 species
AAAGAAUCACUUUUUCUAAGUAUGUCGGAGUGAUUGAGCAGAGAGAAAAAUGAAUACCCUAAGCGAACUAGAAAUCUGGAAAGAACCGAAAUAGAGGCAGUGUCUCAUGACACUUUACUUGAGGACUCACCUGAUGAACUGCUGAUCAACUCUAUAAUUUUUCUUUCUAGGAUUCCUUCACCUAACCAGAACUGACUUCAUCAGAGAGUUAUGAUGGUUAACUCUAUCAGUCUUCUACCUGAAUGCCCCAAGAUAUUGAUGAAGUCAACAAAAACAUUGAGCCUCAGAACACAAGAAAUCUUGGACAAACUGGGAGACAGCUUGUCAGUAUCUAAGGUUGCCAUCUGGAGUUUUAAGUAAUUGUCUACUACUGAAGAAACAAGACCCAGCAGACCCUCAGAUGGAACUGAAGUCUCUGUCUUGUCCUGGAGAUGUCCCCCAUCUCCUCAUCCCCAUCAGCUGAGGAUUUCCAUUUGUUUACAUGGCCCUCCAGGAUCUCUCCUGCACUUCCCCAGACUUGAUCCUGAAGCCUCCAUUUCCCUCCCUAUAGGGAAUGCAUCUGGAAAAGAGACUACCAGCAGAAGAGCAUAAAGGGGCGUGGAAGCCUAAACUGAACGAAGACCAAAGUGUGGACACUUUGCCCCUUCUUAGAAUUUGAAACAAUCACCCAUGGAAGGAGU